rnacentral:rRNA from 1 species
UACGAAGGGGGCUAGCGUUGCUCGGAAUCACUGGGCGUAAAGGGUGCGUAGGCGGGUUUUUAAGUCAGGGGUGAAAUCCUGGAGCUCAACUCCAGAACUGCCUUUGAUACUGAAGAUCUUGAGUUCGGGAGAGGCGAGUGGAACUGCGAGUGUAGAGGUGAAAUUCGUAGAUAUUCGCAAGAACACCAGUGGCGAAGGCGGCUCACUGGCCCGAUACUGACGCUGAGGCACGAAAGCGUGGGGAGCAAACGGG